UGCUGUCUCCACCGGGAGAGGCCCGGAGAGGCCAGGGACCCCGUGAGCCAUGGAGACCGGAUUUCUGGGGCACUCACGAGGUGUCAGGCUCUGUGCUAAAUGUUUCCCGCGGAUGACUCCAUGAUCGCUCUCACAGUCCGAACAGGUAGAGGCGGGAUGGGGCUUGCGGGGUUAACACCUGCCCCCGGGCUCCGAGCUCUGGGG